UACGUAGGGGGCGAGCGUUGUCCGGAGUUACUGGGGCGUAAAGGGGCGUGCAGGCGGUGCGGUAAGUUUAGAGUGACAGUAUCCGGCUUAACUGGAUAAGGCCUCUGAAAACUGCCGGACUUGAGGGCCAGAGAGGGACAUAGAAUCCGGGUGGAGUGGUGAAAUGCGUAGAUAUCCGGAGGAAUACCAAAGGCGAAGGCAGUGUCCCUGGGCUGG
rnacentral:rRNA from 1 species